rnacentral:rRNA from 1 species
UACGGAGGGUGCGAGCGUUAUCCGGAAUUACUGGGUUUAAAGGGUGCGUAGGCGGCCAUGUAAGUCAGGAGUGAAAGUUUGCGGCUCAACCGUAAAAUUGCUUUUUGAUACUGCAUGGCUGGAAUCAGGAUGAGGUCAGCGGAAUGUGGCAUGUAGCGGUGAAAUGCAUAGAUAUGCCAUAGAACACCAAUUGCGAAGGCAGCUGGCUAGACCUGUAUUGACGCUGAGGCACGAAAGCGUGGGGAGCGAACAGG